CUCUUAAUAUUAAACUCCCUAAAGUGAACAUGGAAAAGGGAGGAGGCGGCAGAAGCAGGAACCGUACAUUUUCUGGCAAUGAAUUUAUUGCAGGUGAACGCUGCAAGGAUGCUGGGAUACAGGACUCUUUCAAAGGACUAGGUCAAGAUUUGCACAACAUUUCUGACAAUAAAUUUAGUGCUGGUGAACGCUGCAAGGAUGUUGGGAUACAGGUCUCUUUCAAUGCACUAGGUCAAGAUUUUCACAACCUUUCUGGCAAUAAAUUUAGUGCAGGUGAACGCUGCCAGAAUGUUGGGAUAAAGGACUCUUUCAAUGGGUGAAGGUGCUGUCAAAUUUUAUUGGCAACACCAGCCUGACGAGGUCUCCAGCUGGUGCUGCAUCCUAUAGUUUAGGAGAAGAAGAAGCGGAAUCAAUGUUAGAAUAAACCAAUUGAAGAAGGACAUGAUCAAUAAGAAGAAAAAAGUAGUCUGCUGUUCUUCGAUGCUUUAAGUUUACUGGUGCUUGUAGGCUCUUAUUAUGAAUAAUUAUUAUUGUAUAAUAUUAUUGUAAUUCCAUUGCUUUUGUUUCGUUUGUACCAAGUUUGUGGGGAUAUUCUAUCUUCUAAUGUUGCUUGCAAUUGUUUC